CGCGUAGGCGGUUUGUUUAGUCGGAUGUGAAAUCCCCGGGCUCAACCUGGGAAUUGCAUUCGAUACUGGCAGGCUAGAAUGUGGUAGAGGGAAGUGGAAUUCCAGGUGUAGCGGUGAAAUGCGUAGAUAUCUGGAGGAACAUCAGUGGCGAAGGCGACUUCCUGGACCAACAUUGACGCUGAGGUGCGAAAGCGUGGGGAGCAAACA
rnacentral:rRNA from 1 species